CGGCCGCCUCGGGCGCGAGGGGGCGCUAACGGUCCCCCUCCUCCAUCCCCGCGCGCGCCCGGCGCUUCCCGCCCUUUUUCCUCCCCUCAGGGCUGAGGGCGGGAAGGGGGAGGUGUCCCCUCCGAGGUCCCUCGCUCCUUCUCCGCUCCCUCGCCCACACCCGGAAAUAUGUAGAGAGAUUUUCAGGAGUGCAGAGUCAGGUGAAGGACCUGUUGCAGGGCUCUGGAGAGGCUGCAGACCACAAGUUCUGUCUCUGAUCUUUCAGAAUCUUUUUCCAAGCAAUGGAAAAGCAACAGUGCAAGAAGCAGCCGUUGGCACCACACAGGAAGUGAGUAGGAGAAUCAUGUUUCCAUGUUGUUAUCCUGCUACUGAUCUAUGGUAAUUCGUGCUUGCUGCCUUUGGGUUUACAUCCAAGUGAUGAGCUCAGAUCCCAAAUUCACUUCUCACUUCAUUAACUGGUUAUGGGCCUGAAGGGACCUCUAAAUGUCACCUGCUGCUACCCCCUGCCUUAGCAGGGACAUUCUGCACCUGGUCAGGUCUCUCAAAGCCCUGUUCAGGCCCGGUGUGGAAUAAGCCUCUUUUUGGAGUCUGUAC
rnacentral:lncRNA from 13 species